rnacentral:siRNA from 1 species
UUACACUUUGUCUUGCUUGCUU